CGGCAGCACGGGAGCAAUCCUGGUGGCGAGUGGCGAACGGGUGAGUAAUACAUCGGAACGUGUCCUGUAGUGGGGGAUAGCCCGGCGAAAGCCGGAUUAAUACCGCAUACGCUCUACGGAGGAAAGGGGGGGAUCUUAGGACCUCUCGCUACAGGGGCGGCCGAUGGCAGAUUAGCUAGUUGGUGGGGUAAAGGCCUACCAAGGCGACGAUCUGUAGCUGGUCUGAGAGGACGACCAGCCACACUGGGACUGAGACACGGCCCAGACUCCUACGGGAGGCAGCAGUGGGGAAUUUUGGACAAUGGGCGAAAGCCUGAUCCAGCAAUGCCGCGUGUGUGAAGAAGGCCUUCGGGUUGUAAAGCACUUUUGUCCGGAAAGAAAUCCCCUGGGAUAAUACCCCGGGGGGAUGACGGUACCGGAAGAAUAAGCACCGGCUAACUACGUGCCAGCAGCCGCGGUAAUACGUAGGGUGCAAGCGUUAAUCGGAAUUACUGGGCGUAAAGCGUGCGCAGGCGGUUCGCUAAGACAGAUGUGAAAUCCCCGGGCUUAACCUGGGAACUGCAUUUGUGACUGGCGGGCUAGAGUAUGGCAGAGGGGGGUAGAAUUCCACGUGUAGCAGUGAAAUGCGUAGAGAUGUGGAGGAAUACCGAUGGCGAAGGCAGCCCCCUGGGCCAAUACUGACGCUCAUGCACGAAAGCGUG
rnacentral:rRNA from 1 species